ACCCCUAGGCGCGGGUGAUCUUUAUGGAGAUCCUUGAGUACUUUGUCGGGUUUCUCCUGGGGGAUGGCUACCUCUAUCACUACAAGAAGGAGGGGAAGUACCUCGUCAGGUUUGCUGACAGUAACAAGGAGUUCUUAGAGAUGCUUAGAACUGAAAUGUUGUCUGCUGGCUAUAAAGGCCAUAUAUACAAGAUAAAAGGCCGAAACGCGUAUGUCCUGGAAUUUUCAAAUAAGGAGCUGUAUUACUUAUGUCUUGAACUGGCCGCAAAUUUGCUGAAAAGUCCUACAGCUCCCUUUGUGGCUGGGCUGAUAGACGCAGAGGGCUCGCUACAAAAGCCGCGAAGAGGGUCGUUGAGACUGGUUAUUACCAACACAAACCUCCCGUUGUUACAUGCGGCGUCAAACUAUCUGCGCCAGAUAGGCAUCGAGGCGACGCCAAAGCCGUAUGGAAAGACCCAGAGAGGGGAAAGACAAAGAUACCGUAUAAUAGUCUACGGGAAGGAAAAAAUAACAAGGAUCAUUUCGGCCAUCCCCCUGAGACAUCCAAAAUUUUAUCCCCCACCACGGGGCCGAAAGUCCGGCAACGAGCGAGACCCCCGCCCCUAGUUGCUUUCCCGCUCUUCGGAGCGGGAGGCACACUAGGGGGACUGCCGGCGUAAGCCGGAGGAAGGAGGGGGCCACGGCAGGUCAGUAUGCCCCGAAACCCCGGGGCUGCACGCGAGCUGCAAUGGCGGGGACAGCGGGACCCGACCCCGAAAGGGGGAGGCAAUCCCGUAAACCCCGCCCCAGUAGGGAUCGAGGGCUGCAACUCGCCCUCGUGAACGUGGAAUCCCUAGUAACCGCGUGUCACCAACGCGCGGUGAAUACGUCCCUGCCCCUU
rnacentral:rRNA from 1 species